UACUUUUACUGCUGGGAGUUUUAGUGAUUUAUGUGAAUAUUCGAAUAUCACAUGCCCCAUCUUAAGUUCAAUAGAAAAGUAUUGUCAUUUUCCCCCAUGCGUGGCAAAUCACAAUUGAAUGUAUUGGCUACAAUAGAACGUUUAAAAUAAGUGUUGCGGGAAAUAGGAAGCAUCCCAUUACUAAUGAAUUUUGAGAUAAUAAUCAUAAUAUGCAAACUGUAAUUCAUGAUAUGCAAGUAUGCAAGUCUAAUGAUACAAGAAUCUUGAACUCUCUCGAUCUCACACUUUAUCUUCUCCAGGCCCUUGUGAUAGAAUCCAUAAAUUGAAAGUAACGGUGGAUAAAUAUAACAAUUAAGUCGGCCCGAUUCGAGAGGGGCAACUCUCCGAUUACAAGAGAGGUAACCCAAUUUGAGAUGGGUAAUUCUCCUAAAAUAAACAAAGUUUGCUAAUUGUAAAUAACCAGAGUUAGAAAACUAGAGCAGGAAAUGAGAUUUAAAUAUAAAAAAGAGCAGUUACUAAUCCUAAAAGAUAGAACAGUUAUCCUAAUCUUGGCAGUUUAACCCCUAAACUUUUGCUCCUGAUUGACUGGGCUAUAAACUGCACCUUUUUCCUUUUCCCAUCUUCUUUUUGCUGCCUAAAGUGGAUAGUCUAGCAGACCAGCCAACGGCCGGGUCCAAUGACCCAAUAUGGUCUGUAUCACCUUGUCUUGACCUAUUUCUUACCCUGUAACGCUACUCUUCUUGUUAACCAAAUGGAUCAGAGAACCCACAUGUUUGAGCAUUUGGUCGCUCAUUUAGAUCAUGGCUGGGAUUUUAAUCAUGAAUGAAUGGCAAAAUGGAGAUGCCACACUGGCACACUCCAUUAUAUUUCUUUUAUCUUAUUCAACUGUGCUUUCUUUCUUUCUAAUAUAAUUUCAGUGCUAAGCAGAUAUGAGGAAUUCAGAGUUUCGAACCUUCAAAGACAAGCAGUCUUACUAUAAAAAUUUCUGAUGGAACAAGUGUUUUAGGAAAAUCAAAUAGCCCUUUGUGCAAAAAAAUAUUAUUCUAUACAUCUUUUUUGAAAAAUUGUCAUAGUUCUUGGACCAUUCGUGCUUCACAGUGCAAGCUGUCAUAUAGUUUUGUUGAAUACUGUCAUCCCCUCAUGCUGUUUCGGGAGUCAUGGUUGCAGAAACCUUGUGGGAUUUUUUCUUUCUUGGGUUCUCUUUCUGCUCCAAUAAUAAGUUGAGUGAUAAAUAUGUGGAGCUCUUUGCUGAAGUUUUCUGCCAUUUACCUUUUGCUCAUGUUAUAAAUGAGAAGAUUUUUGUUCAUGGGGGAAGUUUUGGUAAUGACGUGGUGAAGCUCUCUAACAAUAGUGCAAUUGAUCGGUCUUGUGAACCCCAGAAGAAGGCAUGGAUAGAGGGAUCAAGUUUUCUGGAUUACUGCUUUCAAACCUGUAAUUGCAGGUUUUGUUGUCUGAUCUCAUGAGGUCAAAGAUGAAGGCUAUGAAAUUGAGCAUGAUGGAAACUUAUUGCUGUUUUUCCAGCUCCAAACUAUUGUGACAAGAUACUCAUCAAAUGUAUAACAAAUGUGAUGAUUUCUUUAUUGGCUGAGCUGCAAAGUUCCAUAAUCAAAUUAAAUAGCACAGAUGGUGAUCUUUAUGAGCAUGACUUGAAUGGCAGUCAACAGAAAGUCAUUAUCAAUGACACUUUUUGAUGUGGGCGGCGAUCUUUCCUAGAGGAGCUGGUUAUACAUUUGGACAAGACAUAGCGUCUCAGUUUAACCAUAUGAAUGGACCCGUUCUCAUCUCUAGAUCUUGUCAGCUUGUCAUGGAGGGUUUCAAUUGGUGCCAGGUUAGUGUUAUCAAAAUAACAAUAUUGCUUAUCCAGAUAUCCUUUAUUUAUUCAUUCAAAACUUUAAUAAAGAUGUUAAUGGAUCACCUUUUAUCACUUCUGUGUUUUUAUGCUCCAAACCAAAAAGUCUCUUCUGGCGGCCAUGACGCAACAUUUUGUGCCCACCAUUUAUCAUGAUAGAAUCAUUUGGUUAGUUGAAGAAGGAAGUGAGUUAUUAUAAAUAUUUACCUUUUAUGAAACCUGCAACAAAUAUGAGUCUUACUUGGAACAGAUAUAGGUUACACUAUUUCUCAUGUUAAAAAGGUAAACAGAAUUUCCUUAUAUAGUGUUGAAUUUACAGAACCAAAUUAGACCUUGGGAAUUGUUGGGUCACGGGCUAAAACUGAUUCGGGUUGAAAUGGCUAAACGGGUUAGGUGAGACUGAGUUGACAAGCAAAGAUGUACUCCCUGAUUCCUCUU